rnacentral:piRNA from 1 species
UGCUUGGUGGGAGGGCGCGAGUUGUUC